AACGAACGCUGGCGGCAUGCCUAACACAUGCAAGUCGAACGAGACCUUCGGGUCUAGUGGCGCACGGGUGCGUAACGCGUGGGAAUCUACCCUUGGGUUCGGAAUAACAGUUAGAAAUGACUGCUAAUACCGGAUGAUGACGUAAGUCCAAAGAUUUAUCGCCCAAGGAUGAGCCCGCGUAAGAUUAGCUUGUUGGUGGGGUAAUGGCCUACCAAGGCGACGAUCUUUAGCUGGUCUGAGAGGAUGAUCAGCCACACUGGGACUGAGACACGGCCCAGACUCCUACGGGAGGCAGCAGUGGGGAAUAUUGGACAAUGGGCGAAAGCCUGAUCCAGCAAUGCCGCGUGAGUGAUGAAGGCCUUAGGGUUGUAAAGCUCUUUUACCAGGGAUGAUAAUGACAGUACCUGGAGAAUAAGCUCCGGCUAACUCCGUGCCAGCCGCCGCAGUAA
rnacentral:rRNA from 1 species